GAACAGUUACGAGAAGUGGAUAGGAGAAGGUCAGGGUCAGAGUGGCCCCAGGUAAAGCCGCACCCUUGAGAGCUGUACUCUGCAAGCUAGACCAUACCAAGGAGGAGUGCUUUGGGCCCAGCUCCACUAGUGAGAGCCACACUCUGCCAGGCUCGGGUUCCACUGAGGAGCAACACCCUGGUUAAAGCCCCACUAGUGAGAG